rnacentral:lncRNA from 1 species
GUGCCUGGAAUUCGAACCCAGACCGUCCUCACGCGUUCUCUGUCCAGCAUCCAGGCCCCGCACCCGCUCCAGUCGGCUCCAUUCCCCUUGUCCAGUGGUCCAGCCAUCCAAGGACCCUGACUCCGCUCAGCCGACCCUAUUAAUAAAGAGGUUUUAUUGCCUGCAGGUGCUUCACGAUAUUGCGUGGGCUUCUAAUAAACGUCCAGUAAACCGCAGGUAGCGCCUCGGAGAGAGAUGGGCCCGUGCACCUGUCCACAAAGGGCCUCCACAUGCUGCAGCUCCGCCUUCCGUGGCCCAGCCCUGGCACGGUCGGCUCCGGAGACGAUCCUGCCCCUCGGGACGCCUGCAGGUGAGGAAGGUCAGGGUUAGGAGGCGAGGUUGCUGGCCUAAAGCCACCCCAUGGAGAAAGGGGAGUUCGGGAUAGCCUGGAACGGAAGCGGAGGCCUCUGUCCGUCUCACCUCCCAGCAUCCCCCUACCAAAUCCUCCAGGGAGGGCAUCGAGUCCCCAGUUUCCAGAGAACAAGCUGAGGCUCCCCUGGCGGGGGGCGUAACCUGGCAUGGCCCUGACAUCUACUGCCUUGCCCUGACACGGCGGCCCCCAGCCUUCACUUCUCUGGGCCGGGAGGAGAGAGGGGUCCUUCACCUCCUGCCCCCGCCCUCACUGGUCAGCCUGGCCCUGCCCAGCAGAAGCCACAGGGGGGCCAGGGAGCCUGGAGUGGCUUCAGAGGCCAGGAUAGACAUGAUGAAAGCCCCGGAGCACGGGACCCAGCCGAAAGGAAAUGAGGCCCUUUGAGUUCCUUGUUUCUUGAGGAUGCGGCAAUGCCGGCGGCUGCCUCUGCGAGAUCUCGUUUCUCUGGAAGAAUAUCGAAAACAGCCGACGUUAUAAAGGAAACUUCUCCCUCAGACGCUUCUGGGAGCUCAUCUCCUUGAUUUAAAACUUGCUAGGACACAGGUGGAUUUUUAAGGGGUGAAAUGGAAUGAAAGAAAAAAAA